rnacentral:misc_RNA from 1 species
GAAAUGCGAUAAGUAAUGUGAAUUGCAGAAUUCAGUGAAUCAUCGAAUCUUUGAACGCACCUUGCGCUCCUUGGUAUUCCUUGGAGCAUGCCUGUUUGAGUAUCAUGAAAUCUUCAAAGUAAAUCUUUUGUUAACUCAAUUGGUUUCUACUUUGGUAUUGGAGGUCUUUGCAGCUUCACACCUGCUCCUCUUUGUUCAUUAGCUGGAUCUCAGUGUUAUGCUUGGUUCCACUCGGCGUGAUAAGUUAUCUAUCGCUGAGGACACUGUAAAAGGUGGCCAAGGUAAAUGCAGAUGAAACGCUUCUAAUAGUCCAUUGACUUGGACAAUAAUUUUAUGAUCUGAUCUCAAAUCAGGUAGGACUACCCGCUGAACUUAAGC